UACGUAGGGGGGCAAGCGUUUGUCCGGAUUUAUUGGGCGUAAAGAGCGUGUAGGCGGCUGGGUAGGUCCGCUGUGAAAACUCGAGGCUUAACCUCGAGACGUCGGUGGAAACCAUCCAGCUAGAGUCCGGAAGAGGAGAGUGGAAUUCCUGGUGUAGCGGUGAAAUGCGCAGAUAUCAGGAAGAACACCCGUGGCGAAAGCGGCUCUCUGGGACGGUACUGACGCUGAGACGCGAAAGCGUGGGGAGCGAACAGG
rnacentral:rRNA from 1 species